AUUGAACGCUGGCGGCAUGCCUUACACAUGCAAGUCGAACGGUAACGGGCCUUCGGGUGCCGACGAGUGGCGAACGGGUGAGUAAUGCAUUGGAACGUACCUUUCAGUGGGGGAUAACGUAGCGAAAGUUACGCUAAUACCGCAUAUUCUGUGAGCAGGAAAGCAGGGGAUCGCAAGACCUUGCGCUGAUUGAGCGGCCGAUGUCAGAUUAGCUAGUUGGUGAGGUAAAGGCUCACCAAGGCGACGAUCUGUAGCGGGUCUGAGAGGAUGAUCCGCCACACUGGGACUGAGACCCGGACCAGACUCCUACGGGAGGCAGCAGUGGGGAAUUUUGGACAAUGGGGGCAACCCUGAUCCAGCCAUGCCGCGUGAGUGAAGAAGGCCUUCGGGUUGUAAAGCUCUUUCGGCCGGGAAGAAAUCGCACGGGCUAAUACCCUGUGUGGAUGACGGUACCGGAAUAAGAAGCACCGGCUAACUACGUGCCAGCCGCCGCCGUAAAAC
rnacentral:rRNA from 1 species